GGCUCAUCCUCCAUUCUCACUUUGUUUAUAGUGAGACCUGUGAUAGUCACAUUUGAAAUUAAUCUUAAAGUCUUUAGUUAGAGAUAGUUUCCUACCUUUAAUCAUUGUUACUAAACUGUUUAAAAACUGGGAGGGAAAAUUGAAAAGUCUGCCACACUGGACAUUUCUUUGUUUCAAAAAUUGAGUGUUUUAUAGGCGUCUGGGUACUCUGGGAGGAUUCCAAGCUGCUUGUCAUGUUGAUACUCUCAAACCUGUACUUGAGUCAGGGAGACAGCCAUAACUACAUACAAUAAAAGCAUAAAGGGGGAAUUAGAACUAGGGGAGAGUAUUGACAGGUGGGACUCACCUAAUUCAAGGCUACCAGUAGGUAUUUGUAUGCUGUGUACCUUUCUAGUCUUUUUAGUAACAGGGUUAAGAGGUAGAAAACAACCUCUAAGUAAAGAGAUUGAGAUUAAUUUGAAAUGUAAAGAGAGCAGCAGUUUUUUACAGUUUAGUGCUUGCUCGCAGGAAGGGGAGGGAUGGUAGUGCCUGGCUAAUGAUAUGGCAGUGGGGAUGAAGAGAGGAGGAGGCAACUGAGAGAUACUUUUAUGUGAGUCUGGUGGUGGUGAAAGACUGAAGGAUAUUCCCAGGGGAGAUCGGCAGUAUGUGGUGAGCUACUGGGGAAGUUGCUCAGAUAGGCUUCCCUAUAUGACAGUACCUUAGCUGGACAGCAUUUUCUUACAGUCUGCUUCUCAUCUUUGCAGGUCUAAUAUAUACUUACCUGGCAAUAUUUCCUAGAGCUGAUCAGGUUCUUCAAAAUGCCAGUUAACAGUAAUGGGAAACAAAUCUUUAUUAUCACUAAUCAUAUCAGCUGUGCAGGGCAGCUUCAACCUGGGACCUGAGCUAGCAUUAUCAUUUACCACUGAAGAAGGAGGGGUUCGAAGGAAGACCAUGGGUUCAGUGCUGGGUUCUUCCUCUCACUAUAUGAUGGCAGCUCUCUAAGCCUGUUUUCUCAUCUGAAAUUCUUUCAUGGUUGUUGUGAAAGUUAAGUAAGUAGAUGUGUGUAAACAGUUGGGCACACAGCCUAGCUCAGAGUAAAUGCAUAAUAAAUGUUAAUUGAUGUUAUUGAAAUGUUGCUUGGUGAAUAUGGAAGUAGAAAAAAAUGAAGGUGGGUGUUUGAAUGGUGAAUCUCUAGACAUGGGCAUGAGAAUAUCCAAAGGGGUAAAUCUGAAUCAUGGGAGGUUUCACCUACAUGUAUUUUGAAAUUAUUUCCCUAGUGAGUUAUAGCUACUGGUGAAAGUAUGUAUUCUUCAAGUAUGGUGGGGUGGAAAAAGACUGAUGGUCUUAAGAAAAAUUUCAUCCAAGCCCUGAUACAGCCUGACUCAGCCUAAGGCAUGAUUAUCUUGGAGCUUGCAUUAUGUUGACACAAUCACGUUUUCUGUCACCUUGAUAUACCUCAGACAUCCUUUACAGAUGGAGAGGUAUAAAAAUAUUGAAUGGACCUGCCACUGACUUAAAAAAUAAAACAUUGCUCAUACAACUGUAGACCCUGUUUUUAAAGCAAUAUUCUUGUUUCUUUGUUACUCGAAUAAUACAUGCUCAUUACAGGUGAUUUGGUUCUUUCUGAUUGCACUUUCACUAGAACCCUGUUUACCAUGGC
rnacentral:lncRNA from 10 species